ensembl:lncRNA
GUACGAUCCGCGCAUAGCGCGCAGGAAAGUAAGGCGAGGAUAUCCCCAAGUCGUUGUAAACGCUGUCAGCGGGUAUCACCAGAUAGUCAAAUCUUCAAAUAUCCACCUUUUUGUAAACCUUUGAUUCUCGUUGUUGCUCGGUUUGAAAUGCAGCAUGACGCUGUUGUUAAUCACGUCUACAUGUCAAAGCAACUUUGUCAGGCAGAAUCGGAAUGCCCUCUUCUGGUGAGAGAACGAUUCAGGAGCUCGUCCAAUGUCGUCACGAUCAUGCUUUGGUGACAUAGCUCCAUUCUUAUACUGACAUCAACUGCUUUAGCUAAGUAUCCGCAUCUUACCUGUUUACUUAUGUGGUUUCUCGCCUGGUUCUUUGAUGAAUAUCUUACACUCA